AUGACUUUGUUUUCCAUUCCACAGAGAGGGGAGAUGCAUUUAAGAGAGCCCAGGAGCUGGUGGUCAUUCUACAAGGAAUGCCUGCCCUAUCAUACUCAAACAGCACAAAUGAAGUGGAAAAUAGAGAAGGAUCCUCCUUUGCCCCAGGGCAUGUUGCAGACAACCCAUCUUUGCCUCCUGAAAGGUCUUGCAGCACACCUGGAACCAGACUGAUCCCUGUUUGGAAGCCAAGCUCCACCUGUGACCUUCACCGAGCCCUCUUGGGUGCGACCUGCGGGCUUUGAUGGCUCUGAAGCGAC
rnacentral:lncRNA from 1 species